CAAAGCUGCUGUGGCUGUCUGCGUUUCCCAUGACGACCUGGAAGAGGACGGAGGAGGAUGACAUCAUCAGACGAGAGUAUGCCUGUGCCCACUCAACAGAACGACUCAUCACGUGAGCACGAUCCCCGAACUGCCCAGAGAUGCAUCGCUUCUGUCUGCAUGAAAACAACACUGUGUGAAUGAAACGAGCCAUCAGUUUACUCUGGAUCCAACAGCCGGACCGUCUGCAGUGAGGCAGCAACCAGCUACUAACAUCUCUGCACUCAGGACGUCAGCAGUGUCUAAAACCCCCCAGAAAUUAUUAAUUGCGAUAAACAGCUCCCUGGACUCAUUUCCUGAGUGAGCACGGGAAGGGUCAACGGUCACGGUGGACUUGAUUUUCAGCGCAUACAGACAGCUAGCUCGGGCAGGACGACGCCCAUCCUGUCCCACAGGUCAGCGCCACGGAGGAAGGACGGGGGAGGAGAGAGGAGAGAAGAUGGCAACACAACACACUGCUGGCUCCCGAAUGCAUUGCUGACCUUUGACCUUUAUCCACUGAACCGAGACGGAAAGUGGUGAAGGGAAACCUCGACAGCUGACAGAUGAAGAGGGGCGAGAGAAGUUUAAUUAGAGAGAGAUGAAAGGAUUUAAGGCCCCUCCCACCAGGUGUCAGUGUCCUGGAGCUUCAUGAGCAAACGCUCCAUCCUUCGGUGCUCCCUGGAUUGAGUCUGAGGAGGUCAAGACCCGAUCAGAUCAGAAAAAUCUGAUCAAUCCAGCCUUCAACCUCCAUAUCUUAAAGGUACUGCGUCUCACAGCACAGGGAUCUUCAGAGGACUAAUGUUUGUGCUCAGCAUGGCUUUUGUCCUUUAAAACGUUUCUUUUAAUCUGAAACGAUCCAUUAAGGGAAACUUUAGCUAAUCCAUCCACACACUGAGGUCUGAGCAUCUUUGCUAACCUUAAACCCAACGGCACGCUAUGAGGAAACAAGAAGAUGAUAAAGUCACUGUUUAGGAUCUAAGUUAUGCGCAUUUCAUUUAAAAAUCACAAUAAUUUCAUGUUUAUGUGAAGCUAAAGUGAACCUUCAGCCAUCCAUGUGGGUUAAAUCAUAAAACGUCCUCCAACGCAGAGGAGGAGCAACUAUAAAGUUGGACUGUCUCUUCUUCUCAGAGACAUCCAGCAUCUCAGACUCAGAAAGAUCAUUCAUGGCUCAUUUUAAGGCAUUUUAAAAAGGACAGAAGAUAUUUUCUGGUUGAGGACACUGACAAAGUUUGGGACACGGAAUAUAUCAGAGGAAUGAUUUCAAGACACCCACGUAUUAAAGUGCACAGUGUGACAUGAGGUGAUGAUGGUGGGCCUUCACCCACCACUCUCUCCUCCCACCUCCCUCUCCGGCCGGUGCUGUUUUGUGUCUUGCUCUUCAGACGAGGAGCUCUGAAAGGAGAAAAGUCUGCUGGGGACUUUUGUCUGCUCGUCCCAUCGGCCAUCUGCCGGCUCACAGGACGCCCCGCCAUGGGCGACCCCUCACAUUCUUCCAAAACAAAGAUCCCUCUGACACCCCACCCCACCCCACACACAGACCCUCAAUCCCUCCUCAGGCAGGCGCAUGGCUGCCAUAUUGGAGGAAUUCAUCAGAUGUGUAUUGAAAAGAAUCUGAUUAAAGUGCAGAUUGAAUCUCCUCUGAGUCCGUUUGGAGGAAUGCCACCUGUUCACCAAACGCAUGUCCAACAGUUUCUUUAUCUGGUACUCACGACGAGACACGCAGACCCCACCCCCAUGUUUACAGCUGACUCGCUCACAACACAAAGAGCUUUUUGACUUUUGUUUUUACUUUUUAGAAACGUGAUUUUAGUUUAUGUUCAGCGUUCACUGUGAUGGAACCCUAAAUGCACUGUACACACUUUUCAUGGGCCACAAAGAAACAAAGAAAUUCGGGGAAAAUGUCUCCACUGACUUCGUUGGAGCAGAAAGAGAGUGAGACCUUUGUGUCCGUGUGGGUUUGUAGGUAGUAAAAACUAAAUGAUCUGCUUCACCAUCAGCUGAGGAUAAGCUGCAACCAAAAACUGUACAUGGCUGCUAUGAAGCCUCCUGUUGGUUCAUGAAGUUCGCUCGUGAAGCUUCAGGCUGGGUGUUUUAGCCACUGUGGAUCUGAAACUGCAUACGGUUACAACCUGUCAGUCUCAAGGACUAAAUCCUCCCUUGGUGUUUGAGUCUAAUGUGACUUUCACUUCCAAAAUUAACUUCACUGAAUCCACAGCUGGCAGGAAAAAGGCUUGAGCUCACUGACCAGCUGUCGGUUUCUCUGCAUGUUUGCCUCGCUGAUGAUUGUAAAUUGGCUGCAGGUGUGAAUGUGGUGGACCACCAGCCUAUCCAGAGUCUACUUUGUCUCUCCAACUGUGACAUCUGCGAUAGGCUCCGCCCCCCUCAGCACCCUGAAAUUAUUGAUUGACCAAAGUGUUUUUGAGCUCAGAGAUCAGAUGAGCAGGAGGCUCAUCGUCUCAUAGACUUGUGAGAGGAGUCGCCCCCUGCUGAACAUUACACAGAAUGCAGCAUCGAUUGGCUACGCCCAUCUUUACGUAAAGUUGAUGCUGCUCUGCUGCACGUGCAGAAAAAAAACCUCGUGUCUGCAUUAGGGAUGGACCGAUCCGAUAU